UACGUAGGGAGCAAGCGUUGUCCGGAAUCAUUGGGCGUAAAGAGCGCGUAGGCGGUCCGGUAAGUCGGUUGUGAAAACUGGGGGGCUCAACCCUCAGACGCCGACCGAUACUGUCGGGCUAGAGUCCGGAAGAGGCGAGUGGAAUUCCUGGUGUAGCGGUGAAAUGCGCAGAUAUCAGGAGGAACACCAAUGGCGAAGGCAGCUCGCUGGGACGGUACUGACGCUGAGGACGAAAGCGUGGGGAGCAAACAGG
rnacentral:rRNA from 1 species